AGUUUCAUUCAUCUCCAAUUGGAGGACACACUGGCACACACAAAACGCUAAAUGCAGUGUGUUCCAGAUUUUACUGGUUUGGUAUGACAGUUGACAUUAAAACAUGGAUUCUGGAAUGUGACCAAUGUCAAAAAGUUGGGAAACCACUGACUGCUGUGCAACUGUUGCAGUGUAUUCAGGUGUCUGAAGUGUGGGAACUUAUUGGUAUAGAUCUUACUGGACCUCUUCCUAAAACUUCAAGCGGCUUCCAGUAUAUACUUACUGCAAGUGACUACUUUUCAAAAUGGGUUGAAGCUUUCCCAUUAAAAACAAAAUCUGCAUCUGA